rnacentral:rRNA from 1 species
UACGGAGGGUGCAAGCGUUAAUCGGAAUUACUGGGCGUAAAGCGCACGCAGGUGGCUGAGUCAGUCGAUUGUGAAAGCCCUGGGCUUAACCUGGGAAUUGCAGUCGAUACUACUCAGCUAGAGUAUGGGAGAGGGCAGUGGAAUUCCCGGUGUAGCGGUGAAAUUCGUAGAUAUUGGGAAGAACACCAGUGGCGAAGGCGGCUAACUGGUCCGGUACUGACGCUGAGGUGCGAAAGCCAGGGGAGCAAACGGG